ACGGAAGGCAGCAGUGGGGAAUAUUGGGCAAUGGGCGCAAGCCUGACCCAGCAACGCCGCGUGAGGGAUGAAGGUUUUCGGAUUGUAAACCUCUGUCCUUGGUGACGAACACAAUGACGGUAGCCAAGGAGGAAGCCCCGGCUAACUACGUGCCAGCAGCCGCGGUAAUACGUAGGGGGCGAGCGUUGUCCGGAAUGACUGGGCGUAAAGGGCGUGUAGGCGGCACUGUAAGUCUGGAGUGAAAGUCCUGCUUUCAAGGUGGGAAUUGCUUUGGAGACUGCAGAGCUUGAGUACAGAAGAGGUAAGCGGAAUUCCCGGUGUAGCGGUGAAAUGCGUAGAGAUCGGGAGGAACACCAGUGGCGAAGGCGGCUUACUGGGCUGUAACUGACGCUGAGGCGCGAAAGCGUGGGGAGCAAACAGGAUUAGAUACCCUGGUA
rnacentral:rRNA from 1 species